rnacentral:rRNA from 1 species
GAUGAACGCUGGCGGCGUGCCUAAUACAUGCAAGUCGAGCGAACAGACGAGGAGCUUGCUCCUCUGACGUUAGCGGCGGACGGGUGAGUAACACGUGGAUAACCUACCUAUAAGACUGGGAUAACUUCGGGAAACCGGAGCUAAUACCGGAUAAUAUAUUGAACCGCAUGGUUCAAUAGUGAAAGACGGUUUUGCUGUCACUUAUAGAUGGAUCCGCGCCGCAUUAGCUAGUUGGUAAGGUAACGGCUUACCAAGGCAACGAUGCCUAGCCGACCUGAGAGGGUGAUCGGCCACACUGGAACUGAGACACGGUCCAGACUCCUACGGGAGGCAGCAGUAGGGAAUCUUCCGCAAUGGGCGAAAGCCUGACGGAGCAACGCCGCGUGAGUGAUGAAGGUCUUUGGAUCGUAGAACUCUGUUAUUAGGGAAGAACAAAUGUGUAAGUAACUAUGCACGUCUUGACGGUACCUAAUCAGAAAGCCACGGCUAACUACGUG